rnacentral:rRNA from 1 species
CCUACGGGCGGCAGCAGUGAGGAAUAUUGGUCAAUGGACGAGAGUCUGAACCAGCCAAGUAGCGUGAAGGAUGACUGCCCUAUGGGUUGUAAACUUCUUUUAUAUGGGAAUAAAACGUUCCACGUGUGGGAUUUUGUAUGUACCAUAUGAAUAAGGAUCGGCUAACUCCGUGCCAGCAGCCGCGGUAAUACGGAGGAUCCGAGCGUUAUCCGGAUUUAUUGGGUUUAAAGGGAGCGUAGGUGGAUUGUUAAGUCAGUUGUGAAAGUUUGCGACUCAACCGUAAAAUUGCAGUUGAAACUGGCAGUCUUGAGUACAGUAGAGGUGGGCGGAAUUCGUGGUGUAGCGGUGAAAUGCUUAGAUAUCACGAAGAACUCCGAUUGCGAAGGCAGUUCACUGGACUGCAACUGACACUGAGGCUCGAAAGUGUGGGUAUCAAACAGGAUUAGAUACCCUUGUAGUC